rnacentral:lncRNA from 1 species
CUUCGGACUAAGGCGUGACCAUAGGAUCUCACAGUGUCGGAAUGAGUUGAAGACGAGAUGUGGUGUCCAGUCGGAUAGGGCGAGGCGAGAAGGGGAACAAGGAUCAAAACAGGCAUGGUGCUUAGGGCGGCGCGGCCUCUUUCAUUUCCUGACGUUGGGUUCAUUCGCGAACGAGACAAGUUUAGCUAGGAGCCUCCGCCCCCUUCUUAGUAGCCGAAGUAUAGGCCCGCGUGAGAUCAAAGUAACCUGCCUGCCGUCCGUUCGCUUUGUUUUGGUCUUGACGUGCUUUGAAAAACAUAAAUAUAUUCUUUUUUUAGCACUAGAACACUGACGAUAGACCCACCGGGAACACAUUCACUACUAGGCAUUGACAUCUUAAUGCGUUGCAAUCAGGACAUUGAUCGAUCUUUAUGCUUCCCGGCAGCUAUACAAUCUGAAUCGGCUACCAGUACGUACGUACCUAUUAAGUUAAGACCGCUCGAGUUCUUGAGACCGGGGAGCCCCAGUGCAGGGCCAAUUUCAGUGCCGGUUGGAGACCUGGUUCGAGAUGCAUAUCUUGAAAGAGAGCCAUCACCUCGCCCAACAUCCCUUCCUUUUCUAUAGUCAAUUCGAGAGCCAAAUCCAAAAGCUUAAUUAAAAAGCUGUUGAUCUUGAUCCAAUUCCCGAUGCAUAGGGCGAAAUCUGGUUGAAGCCCCCGGUCAUUUUUAGUAGUGCUGCUCGCUAUAAAUAUCUUUUUGAGGACAGCU